UUUAAAUAGGAGCAAUUAUGUUAUUUUUUUCGUUUUUAUUGAGUGGUUGUAGGUAAGAUGCAGUUACGAGAGUAGAAAAAUGAUGGAGAAAAGUAAAAGAAGAAAAGCAGAGGUUGUUACCAGAUAGUACGCCAUCAGCCUACACAAACGCCUUCAUAGAUGGAUGCACGAGAUGGUAAAAGAAGAAGUAAAGAAUUGCGAGGAAUCAAUUGAAUGGAAGGAGAUGAUGGUGAAGAGUUUCUCACAAAUGGAUAAGGACGUAGCUAAAUUGAGCAGCUCUGUUUCCCGUUCCAGCUCAAACUGUAGAUGCGAACUUCAAACUCCAUAGUGCGACAAGUAAAAGAAGAAAAGCAGAGGUUGUUACCAUAUAGUACGCCAUCAGCCUACACAAACGCCUUCAUAGAUGCCGGAUCGGCUGGAUGAACUCGCAAGAAUCGAAGAGGUCGGUGGUCGUGUUAUAUAUUGGGAUGGCGCUAGAGUUCUCGGCGUUCUUGCUAUGUCUAGAACAAUCG